AUCGCUUCUUGGCCUUUUGGCUAAGAUCAAGUGUAGUAUCUGUUCUUAUCAGUUUAAUAAUAGCCUUAAAAAUGUGAACACAUAGAUACUUUACAAACUAUAUGAACUUUGAUGAUAUAAAUAAGCUACUCACA
rnacentral:snRNA from 1 species